rnacentral:misc_RNA from 1 species
AGAAGCUCCCUUCAAAUAGUAGCAAGUAUACAUACUCAUGCGACGGUCACACCUUCAACUUCCUUUUAGAUAGUGGCUUUGUCUUCCUAGUUGUUGCUGAUGAACCAACAGGAAGAAGUGUACCGUUUGUGUUUCUUGAAAGGGUUAAGGAUGAUUUCAAGAAACGUUAUGGUUCAAGUAUCAAAAAUGAUGGCGAUCCACAUCCUCUUGCUGAUGGUGAUGAAGAAGAUGAUGAUCUAUUCGGGGAUCGUUUUAGCAUUGCGUACAAUCUUGACAGAGAAUUUGGGCCAAAACUUAAAGAGCACAUGGAAUACUGUAUGAACCAUCCUGAUGAAAUGAGCAAGCUGUCUAAAUUGAAGGCUCAAAUCACAGAAGUCAAAGGAAUAAUGAUGGACAACAUUGAGAAGGUUUUGGAUCGGGGUGAGAAGAUUGAACUGCUAGUGGAUAAAACCGAGAACCUUCAGUUCCAGGCUGACAGCUUCCAGAGGCAAGGAAGGCAGCUUCGUCGCAAGAUGUGGUUUCAGAACCUUCAAAUGAAACUGAUGGUUGGUGGUGCUAUUGUAAUUUUCAUUAUCAUCGUUUGGCUUUUCGCUUGUGGAGGUUUCAGUUGUUGAAAAGAGAUUUCGACGUAAUCAUUUGGUAAUAGUACACUUUUAUCUCUCAUUUCUGUAGUGUACAAAACCUUUCUUGUAAAUGUGAGACAAUGCUGCGGAUGCUUUGUUUUGGUGACUUAAUACUAUGGUAUGGUACCUAUUAGUAUACGUAUGGUUAGCUUUCGUGUGUAAUUUAGCGUAACGAUUCAUCAUACGAUUGUAAAGAGUGGCUAGACGUACAUACCACAACGCGUACAGG